GGAGAGGCUGGUGUCCUGUGGGUUGUGUCUGGCUGGGAUAGGCUGGUGUCCUGUGGGUUGUGUCUGGUGUCCUGUAGGUUGUGUCUGGCUAGGAGAGGCUGAUGUCCUGUAGGUUGUGUCUGGCGUCCUGUAGGUUGUGUCUGGCUGGGAUAGGCUGGUGUCCUGUGGGUUGUGUCUGGCGUCCUGUAGGUUGUGUCUGGCUGGGAGAGGCUGAUGUCCUGUGGGUUGUGUCUGGCUGGGAGAGGCUGGUGUCAUGUGGGUUGUGUCUGGCUGGGAGAUGUGGGUGACCUGUAGGGUGUGUCUGGUGUCCUGUAGGUUGUGUCUGGCUGGGAUAGGCUGGUGUCCUGUGGGUUGUGUCUGGCGUCCUGUAGGUUGUGUCUGGCUGGGAGAGGCUGGUGUCCUGUGGGUUGUGUCUGGCUGGGAGAGGCUGGUGUCCUGUGGGUUGUGUCUGGCUGGGAUAGGCUGGUGUCCUGUGGGUAGUGUCUGGCUGGGAGAGGCUGGUGUCC
ensembl:lncRNA